UGAGGAAUUUUGGUCAAUGGACGGAAGUCUGAACCAGCCAAGUCGCGUGAAGGAAGGCGGCCCUAAGGGUUGUAAACUUCUUUUGUAAGGGAAUAAAGGCCGGUACGCGUUACCGGUUUGCAGGUACCUUACGAAUAAGGAUCGGCUAACUCCGUGCCAGCAGCCGCGGUAAUACGGAGGAUCCGAGCGUUAUCCGGAUUUAUUGGGUUUAAAGGGUGCGCAGGCGGGGGAUUAGGUCGGCGGUGAAAUGUCAGGGCUCAACCUUGAAAGUGCCGUCGAAACCGGUUUUCUUGAGUGCGGAUGAAGUAGGCGGAAUUUGUGGUGUAGCGGUGAAAUGCGUAGAUAUCACAAGGAACACCGAUUGCGGAGGCAGCUUACUAAACCGCAACUGACGCUCAUGCACGAAGGCGUGGGGAUCAAACAGG
rnacentral:rRNA from 1 species